GAAAUGCGAUAAGUAGUGUGAAUUGCAGAAUUCAGUGAAUCAUCGAAUCUUUGAACGCACAUUGCGCUCCUUUGGAUUUUUCCUGGGAGCAUGCCUGUUUGACAGCAUGAAAAAGUAUAGUUUGGAUCCUCAUUGUUCAUUCAUUGUAACCAACUGUAAAGUAUUGAGUAGUCUUUGAUGUCUAGAAAUGGUCUCAAAGUUACUUGAAAUGCAAGCGGAGUAUCUAAUGUGAAAUUUGGAUGAUCUCUUUAAGUAGUAAUAAAAUACCUCUUAAAAUGAUGAUGACCCAUGACCGUACCAUUAUACUCUUUGAAUUCACGUAAUAAAAGUCUCACAUCAAAUAUUACGUUCGAGUUUCAAUCUAAAGUUUGCUGUCAAAUCAGGUAGGAUUACCCGCUGAACUUAAGCAUAUUAAUAAGCGGAGGAAAAGAAACUAACAAGGAUUCCCCUAGU
rnacentral:rRNA from 1 species